rnacentral:rRNA from 1 species
GCAUUGCGGCAGCUACACAUGCAGUCGAGCGGUAGCACAGAGAGCUUGCUCUCGGGUGACGAGCGGCGGACGGGUGAGUAAUGUCUGGGAAACUGCCUGAUGGAGGGGGAUAACUACUGGAAACGGUAGCUAAUACCGCAUAACGUCGCAAGACCAAAGUGGGGGACCUUCGGGCCUCAUGCCAUCAGAUGUGCCCAGAUGGGAUUAGCUGGUAGGUGGGGUAACGGCUCACCUAGGCGACGAUCCCUAGCUGGUCUGAGAGGAUGACCAGCCACACUGGAACUGAGACACGGUCCAGACUCCUACGGGAGGCAGCAGUGGGGAAUAUUGCACAAUGGGCGCAAGCCUGAUGCAGCCAUGCCGCGUGUGUGAAGAAGGCCUUCGGGUUGUAAAGCACUUUCAGCGGGGAGGAAGGCGGUGAGGUUAAUAACCUCAUCGAUUGACGUUACCCGCAGAAGAAGCACCGGCUAACUCCGUGCCAGCAGCCGCGGUAAUACGGAGGGUGCAAGCGUUAAUCGGAAUUACUGGGCGUAAAGCGCACGCAGGCGGUCUGUCAAGUCGGAUGUGAAAUCCCCGGGCUCAACCUGGGAACUGCAUUCGAAACUGGCAGGCUAGAGUCUUGUAGAGGGGGGUAGAAUUCCAGGUGUAGCGGUGAAAUGCGUAGAGAUCUGGAGGAAUACCGGUGGCGAAGGCGGCCCCCUGGACAAAGACUGACGCUCAGGUGCGAAAGCGUGGGGAGCAAACAGGAUUAGAUACCCUGGUAGUCCACGCUGUAAACGAUGUCGAUUUGGAGGUUGUGCCCUUGAGGCGUGGCUUCCGGAGCUAACGCGUUAAAUCGACCGCCUGGGGAGUACGGCCGCAAGGUUAAAACUCAAAUGAAUUGACGGGGGCCCGCACAAGCGGUGGAGCAUGUGGUUUAAUUCGAUGCAACGCGAAGAACCUUACCUGGUCUUGACAUCCACAGAACUUAGCAGAGAUGCAUUGGUGCCUUCGGGAACUGUGAGACAGGUGCUGCAUGGCUGUCGUCAGCUCGUGUUGUGAAAUGUUGGGUUAAGUCCCGCAACGAGCGCAACCCUUAUCCUUUGUUGCCAGCGGUUAGGCCGGGAACCUCAA